rnacentral:rRNA from 1 species
GAUCCUGGCUCAGGAUGAACGCUGGCGGCGUGCCUAACACAUGCAAGUCGAACGGAGUUAUGCAGAGGAAGUUUUCGGAUGGAAUCGGCGUAACUUAGUGGCGGACGGGUGAGUAACGCGUGGGAAACCUGCCCUGUACCGGGGGAUAACACUUAGAAAUAGGUGCUAAUACCGCAUAAGCGCACAGCUUCACAUGAAGCAGUGUGAAAAACUCCGGUGGUACAGGAUGGUCCCGCGUCUGAUUAG